rnacentral:rRNA from 1 species
CAGCCGCGGUAAUACGGAGGGUGCGAGCGUUGUUCGGAAUUAUUGGGCGUAAAGCGCGCGCAGGCGGCUCUUUAAGUCUCGCUGUGAAAGCCCGGGGCUCAACCCCGGGAGGCCAGGGGAUACUGGAGGGCUGGAGAGAGGUAGAGGCGAGCGGAAUUCCGGGUGUAGCGGUGGAAUGCGUAGAGAUCCGGAAGAACACCAGAGGCGAAGGCGGCUCGCUGGACCUGUUCUGACGCUGAGGCGCGAAAGCGUGGGGAGCGAA